rnacentral:rRNA from 1 species
AUUGAACGCUGGCGGCAGGCCUAACACAUGCAAGUCGAGCGGAGCGGCGGACGGGUGAGUAAUGCCUAUGAAUCUGCCUGGUCGUGGGGGAUAGCGUCCGGAAACGGGCGCUAAUACAGCAUACUAUCAGAUGAGCCUAGGUCGGAUUAGCUAGCUGGUGGGGUAAAGGCCUACCAAGGCGACGAUCCGUAACUGGUCUGAGAGGAUGACCAGCCACACUGGAACUGAGACACGGUCCAGACUCCUACGGGAGGCAGCAGUGGGGAAUAUUGGACAAUGGGCGAAAGCCUGAUGCAGCCAUGCCGCGUGUGUGAAGAAGGUCUUAGGAUUGUAAAGCACUUUAAGUUGGGAGGCGUUACCAACAGAAUAAGCACCGGCUAACUUCGUGCCAGCAGCCGCGGUAAUUC